UGGGGAAUAUUGCACAAUGGGCGCAAGCCUGAUGCAGCCAUGCCGCGUGUAUGAAGAAGGCCUUCGGGUUGUAAAGUACUUUCAGCGAGGAGGAAGGCGUUGUGGUUAAUAACCGCAACGAUUGACGUUACUCGCAGAAGAAGCACCGGCUAACUCCGUGCCAGCAGCCGCGGUAAUACGGAUGGUGCAAGCGUUAAUCGGAAUUACUGGGCGUAAAGCGCACGCAGGCGGUCUGUCAAGUCGGAUGUGAAAUCCCCGGGCUCAACCUGGGAACUGCAUCCGAAACUGGCAGGCUAGAGUCUUGUAGAGGGGGGUAGAAUUCCAGGUGUAGCGGUGAAAUGCGUAGAGAUCUGGAGGAAUACCGGUGGCGAAGGCGGCCCCCUGGACAAAGACUGACGCUCAGGUGCGAAAGCGUGGGGAGCAAACA
rnacentral:rRNA from 1 species